rnacentral:tRNA from 1 species
GUCCAGGGGGAUAGGAAUCGAACCCACAAUGUUCCGCUUACCGGGCAGAUGCCAUGUCCACUAGGGUACCCUGGA